ensembl:lncRNA
UUUUUUAUUUAAGUCCAUAAUAGGAACAGAGCUACUUAGAAAUGGUAUUCCAGAGAGAAGAGGUCUCACUGUAGAGGUUUUGUUCCAUGCUUUUUAGAUGUUGGAUGAUUUUCUGAGGCCCUAAUCUUGUUUCUUUCUAUGUUCCUGUAUGUAUGCAUAUCUUCGUGCAAAAAUAUGCACUUCAUUUUUUUUGUACAGACUUAGUUUCACAUUGAAAUACCACGCUUAACUGCCAUGCUUGUUACAGUAAGUUCAAAAUCUUGCCUUAACAAGCUGUAUUUGAGGAAUUGGUUUCCUUUUACACUGAAUUUAAGGCAAAAUAAAAUUUUUUAAGAACUUUUUUAUACAAUGAGCUCUUCUAGUUCACUGAGUUAAAUACAAGCUUUUCUACUUUUCUUUAUUAAUAAUUUAGUGCACUUGAAGACUGCCAGAUUGUCAGUCCAGAAGGUGGAAUUUUUUAGUACGUUUUCAUGCAGAACAGGUACAGCAUGGGAAACAACUGUGCGUGCUACCUUAAGGUUGUUGUGUGGUGUGCUUUUUCUACUGCUCAAUCCCGGCUUUUCAGUGGCAGUAAAUCUUAGCACAAGCACUUGUGUAUACUGUAUAUGGAUGCUUAUUGUGAAGCAUCUGAAAAUUCUUUAUCAUCUAAUUUUUAAAUUAUUAUUCCAUAUUUGCUUGCUUGUUUUGAAUUCUGCAUGCUAACAGAUCCGUGCUAGAUUCAUUUUUUAAUAAUUGCCUGCAACCUGGCCUACCUGUAGGGGGAAUAUGUUUUCAACACCUUCCUUACCUAAAUUUUCAUCAGAGAAAGGUGUCAGGGGAAAUACUUGCUAUCAUUUCUUUUAUCUCCUGCUGUUAUUUUAGGUCAUUUUGAAUGAUUGAAAGCCACUUGGAUCAGAAUAGUUUGGUUUGCUGUCACUUUAAAAAACAAAUCCAAAUGCUUGUUUCAGUCAGAACUAAUCUGUAAUUGGAUGCCAUUCAGCAUAAGAUCUACAAAUGGAUUUUCCUAGUCUGAAACACCAGGAACAGACUACACUGGUUUUCCCCAGAAAGCUUUUCAAAAUUUCUUUGGAUAAUAAGAUCUACGUGGAUUGCUAAUGAUUGGGAUUUCAAGAACACGCCUCUACACAAGGACUUUUUCUUUUUUUCUUUUUUUUUUUUUUAAUAGAUCAUUACUUGAAAAUUCCUUCUAUAUUCCUUAUUGCUAAAGUUUACCUGGAUGUUGCUUUUCUUUACUCAUAUGAGUAAAGAUUAAUUUCCUUCUUAUUGUAAGCUUGUAAUGCUGAGACCAAUUUUGUAUUAGAAAAUGAACUAAUCCGACUCUUUUUUUUAUAAUAUUUUUGAUAUUAUUUAAUAAUAUUUUGAUAAUAUUUUGAUAUUUUGAUAUUUUUUUCAAGGAUCAUCCUUGGAAUCUCUGUUAAUUCAGUCUCUUACCUUUCUCUGGCAAUGACUGUAAUACUGUGUUCAACAGAUCUGUCCAUGUUAGUUGAUGAACAGGAUUUUAGUAUUUCUCAGCAAAUGGGAGAGAAACUGUGGGCCAUGUACACUUCAAAAGUCAUUUUUCUGAUAAAUGUCUACAGUAGACAUACUUUUUAUUUGUUUGUUACUAUUUAUUUGUUAGUUUUUAUUUUGACCUUUUGGCUGCAGAGAGGGUAAUACCAUCUUGAAAUUUAGCAACAUCCAGUCAUUUAAUAUGUGUAUAAAUUUUUGGCUUAUUUUCUAAUCUAAGGAUUAUUUUCUAUGUUUUAGUUUCACUUAAGAUUUUGGGUAAUAAUUUGAGUAAAUAUUUAAGAAUAUUUAAAAAGAAGAUCUUUUUAUAUCAUUUUAGCAUAUACCUUUCAUAAAAAAAGGAAAGAAGAGUAAAGUAUUAUUUACAACUCCUCCUGCUAUGGAGAUUAUGGACAAGCUAUGGAGAUAUAUAUAUUUAUGGGCCUCAAAACUUGAACUGUGUAGAUGACCAUUUCACAAUGAGAUAAAUUUCAUUAAGAUUUACGACUGCUGCUUAGGCUUCCUGCUCUUCUAAAUGAAAGGAAAAAAAAAAAAAAAAAAUGAACCACUAACUUCUCCAAAAUGUUUUCCUAAUGAUCUGCAGCUACAUUGAAGAUUUUUCCGCUCUUAGGCAUACUAAGUCUUUUCUCCAUACAAUAAUUUGUUCUCUGGGGAAUGAAAAAGUUUCUUGGAUUUUAAAGGUCGUAAUUUAUUCUUUGUCUCGCACAGAAUUUUGUGCAAUGAAGAUGUUUACAUGAAAAUGUUUUCUCUUUGUAGGGAAAACAAAGACUUCACAAAUAUGUAUGUUCAUCUAUGCAUGUAAAAAUCCCUAUCCUUUUGUCAAAAUCACAUCCAUGCUGCUAAUGCAUGUACAUAAGUGAGAUGUAUAGAGUUCAAGAAAUCACAUUUUACAGAGCUUCUCAACUCUGUAGUCUGGUGAAUAAAAGCUGAGAGGAUUGUCCAUUCCCUCAAAGUACACUGCCUUUAAUCUGAAGAUAUAUUCUUGAUCACAUUUGCGAACUGUCCUUUCUCUGCUUAAACAAGGACAGUUCUGACUCGAUUUUCAUUUCAUUGAGAUAAAGGGCUGUAUUUUCUCUUCUGAGUGCUAGAGGGCACUAUGACUACACCAGUGAAACUGACAAUAACUAGAAGUAAUUUGCUCCCAUUUCAGUACUUCAGUAAUAUUUUUCUUGUUUCAGUUCUCAUGCUAAUAUUUGCAUUUCUUGCAGAAACCUGUAUACAUCCUUACCAUGUCAGCAGAAAUUCUGUUUGUGUGAACUGAAACAAGGUAUCUCUCUUUGGAUUUUGGUACCAAUAGUAAAACAUGACUCCAGGUGUUUAAAUCUUCAUAAAACAAAGGCAUGUUUCUGUGUUACAAGAGGGAUAUAUCCAUCUGCUUUUCUGCUCUGGGAGUUGAAUUAGCUUUUCAUAGAUUGCAGGUGAAGUUAUAGGAAACUUUAUGUAGUUCCAUCUUGUUUGUCAAAACAUUACAUAAAAAUCUUUUGUGUUUAUACUCUGAAGUAAGGCAUAUAAAGUAAACAUUUAAUUGUUGGAAAGGAUUGAGGUGGGGCAGAUGGGGUUAUUUUUUGUAUAAACUUCAAAAGAAAUUAUCAGUUUAACACAAUGUGAAGUAAUUUCACCAAUGUAGCCAGUUACCUUUGUUUUACGGUAGCCUCAUGCUAAAUACAUGCAAGAAUUACUAUUGUAACUCCACC